AUGAACGCUGGCGGCGUGCCUAAUACAUGCAAGUCGAGCGAACGGACGAGAAGCUUGCUUUUCUGAUGUUAGCGGCGGACGGGUGAGUAACACGUGGAUAACCUACCUAUAAGACUGGGAUAACUUCGGGAAACCGGAGCUAAUACCGGAUAAUAUUUUGAACCGCAUGGUUCAAAAGUGAAAGACGGUCUUGCUGUCACUUAUAGAUGGAUCCGCGCUGCAUUAGCUAGUUGGUAAGGUAACGGCUUACCAAGGCAACGAUGCAUAGCCGACCUGAGAGGGUGAUCGGCCACACUGGAACUGAGACAUGGUCCAGACUCCUACGGGAGGCAGCAGUAGGGAAUCUUCCGCAAUGGGCGAAAGCCUGACGGAGCAACGCCGCGUGAGUGAUGAAGGUCUUCGGAUCGUAAAACUCUGUUAUUAGGGAAGAACAUAUGUGUAAGUAACUGUGCACAUCUUGACGGUACCUAAUCAGAAAGCCACGGCUAACUACGUG
rnacentral:rRNA from 1 species